rnacentral:rRNA from 1 species
UACGAAGGGGGCUAGCGUUGCUCGGAAUCACUGGGCGUAAAGGGCGCGUAGGCGGCGUUUUAAGUCGGGGGUGAAAGCCUGUGGCUCAACCACAGAAUUGCCUUCGAUACUGGGACGCUUGAGUGUGGUAGAGGUUGGUGGAACUGCGAGUGUAGAGGUGAAAUUCGUAGAUAUUCGCAAGAACACCGGUGGCGAAGGCGGCCAACUGGACCAUCACUGACGCUGAGGCGCGAAAGCGUGGGGAUCAAACAGG